AAUUUGAAAUCAGCUUUUAUAGCCUGUGAUAAAAGUUUCUUUCUUGCAGUUAAAAUGUUUUUUACUCUGAUUUUAGUCAUCUGUCAAAGUACAGUACACGCAAACCUGUUACUAAAAUCUUUUCAGUGCUCAAGAUCUUGAUGCUCAUCCCUGUGACCGUGCAGACCUAAACCAAACCGCUCAUCCUCACAAGGGUAACAGGAAAGCUGGAGCCUAUACAAGCCAGAUAUCGACACCAUCACUGAGCAGGAAUCGAUCCCUCGCUGCCCCGCACCACACUGAAAGUAAAGGAAGGCGCAAUAUUAAAAACGGGGAUGAAAGGCCAGCUGUAGCUGAUUACUGAAGGCUGCGAAGCAGACGUCAACCUUUGGACUACGUUUCUUUUCUUCAGAAACAAAGGGAAAAAAUAAUUCAACCAAGGAGGAGAGUCUGGUUGUCUUGAGUCGACCUUUGCGGAUUACUUUGACCUGGACGACUGAGAAUCGACAGAUGGAAAAAACUCAAAUUUUGUUCUGAUUUUCAGUAAGUGCAUUGCCAUUUGUUUUUUAAUUGGUGUCAGAAAACCAACUGAAACAUGACUGCUAAUUUUGCUACGAGGCUAAAAAUAUCUUUUUUUUUUUUCUUUUUUUUUUAUUGCGUGCGUGUGUAAUUUAAGAUAUUAUCGGGCAAAGUGUUUUUCAAAUGCUCAACAUCUCCUGACAAGGGAAACAGGAGGCAUUACCUCACGGAACCGCAUCCCGUCUUGUUGACUUCCUGCUAUGAAACUGCGUCACCCCUGGGAUGGCCACAUUACUGAGCGAUAACAAACACGACACGGCAAUGGGAAGCACUUAGCUGUUGAAGUCCCGCUGACUACAUGG